AUACUAACAAUGCACUGGAGGACUGUGAUCAAGAAGGCAGUCUUCCCAGGGUGGGCCUUCUUUCUGCACUUUGAAAGGGCCCUGCUCUGCGUGGAGCCCCUAAGAGGGUACACGGUGCACAAUUUUUGUUAGUGGGUGAACCUGCGUACGCGCUCGUUCGCC